rnacentral:lncRNA from 10 species
GAGCUGUCUCUAUGGAUAGUCCUUAGAGAAGGCAUUUCGGAACACAGUAAACAGCAGCCUGGUGACUCCGAUUACAGGGCCAGUUGCCUUUGUUACAAUAAAAGCAAGUCAUCUACACAGACAGGAGUUUCACUCGUUGCCCAGGCUGGAGUGCAACGGCGCGAUCUCAGCUCACUGCAACCUCCGCCUCCCCAGUUCAAGCGAUUCUCCUGCCUCAGCCUCCUGAGUCACUGGAAUUACGGGCGCCUGACACCACGCCCAGCUAAUUUUUUGUAUUUUUAGUAGACAUGGGGUUUCACUAUGUUGGCCAGGCUGGUCUCGAACUCCUGACCUCAUGAUCCUCCUGCCUCAGCCUCCCAAAGCACUGGGAUUACAGGUGUGAGCCACUGUGCCUGGUCCAUUAAAAACAUUUGUAAAGCUAUGGUGUUGAUAAAGUAUUAUGAAAGACUGCAAAAAAAGAUGGCUAAUUUUUAGUUAUUAUUGCACAUGUUUAGAGGAGCUAAUGACAUUUUCUAUGAUUAAUAAAAGACAUUAUUUAUGUUUUUAUUUAUGUAUUCCACAACAUUUAUUUUAUUUUCUCCAUUUCAGGAAAACCACUAUGUUGUUACAAUAAAGAUUUUCAUGUAAUUUGUGUUCAAUUGAUAGUAAUAAUGUAACAAGUUAAAAAUGAAGGUAAUUGUGUUUAAAAUUUGAGCAUAUUUUCAUCAAAAUGUAAGUUAAAGUGAUUGUAAAUUUUAAGAUCAUAAUUACUUUGUAUAUCUUCAAGAAAAUUAUUGUUUUAAAAUAUUUAUGCCUAUUAAAAUUAGAAGGCAAAAUAAAAAUAUAUGAAUACCAACAUUUUAAAUAAAAAUCAUUUAAAU